AUUGAACGCUGGCGGCAGGCCUAACACAUGCAAGUCGAGCGGAUGAAGGGAGCUUGCUCCUGGAUUCAGCGGCGGACGGGUGAGUAAUGCCUAGGAAUCUGCCUGGUAGUGGGGGAUAACGUCCGGAAACGGGCGCUAAUACCGCAUACGUCCUGAGGGAGAAAGUGGGGGAUCUUCGGACCUCACGCUAUCAGAUGAGCCUAGGUCGGAUUAGCUAGUUGGUGGGGUAAAGGCCUACCAAGGCGACGAUCCGUAGCUGGCCUGAGAGGAUGAUCAGUCACACUGGAACUGAGACACGGUCCAGACUCCUACGGGAGGCAGCAGUGGGGAAUAUUGGACAAUGGGCGAAAGCCUGAUCCAGCCAUGCCGCGUGUGUGAAGAAGGUCUUCGGAUUGUAAAGCACUGUUAGUUGGGAGGAAGGGCAGUAAGUUAAUCCCUUGCUGUUUUGACGUUACCAACAGAAUAAGCACCGGCUAACUUCGUG
rnacentral:rRNA from 1 species